rnacentral:tRNA from 1 species
GUUUUUAUAGUUUAUUAGUUAAAACUUUAUAUUUUCAUUAUAAUAAAAAUUUAUAUUUAAAAACU